rnacentral:rRNA from 1 species
GACAGAGGGGGCAAGCGUUGCUCGGAAUUACUGGGCGUAAAGGGCUCGUAGGCGGCCAACUAAGUCGGAUGUGAAAUCCCCAGGCUCAACUUGGGAACUGCAUCCGAUACUGGAUGGCUUGAAUUCGGGAGAGGGAUGCAGAAUUCCAGGUGUAGCGGUGAAAUGCGUAGAUAUCUGGAGGAAUACCGGUGGCGAAGGCGGCAUCCUGGACCGACAUUGACGCUGAGGAGCGAAAGCUAGGGGAGCAAACGGGG